CAGAAAUUGGAGACAGUGGAGGAACUACUCGACCUUGACGAGUUUAUAAAAACUCAACCAAGCAAGAAAGAUUUGCUGACAGCCAGGCUCUCAAAGAUUGGUGGAUAUGACUUAAAGAGCUGUUUAAGCAUCAUCAUGGACAGGCUCAUGACAAAUUAAUUAAUGUCCAAUCUGAACAUGAAGGGGAGAGGGGGAAAAACUGCCUUUGCCGAGACGAAGCUGCUCGAUGUAGUCACAGCUAGUGUCUUGGAUACCCAGAAGGGGACCGAAACGAUGGUCCAUGAUGCCAUAAAAAAUAAACUGAAAUAUACCCCUGGACGGAAGGGAGGAAUAGGAUGGGCAUCACAGGCUAAAUAAAUAAUUAUAUUGAUUGA